GGGCACAUGGUGUAGUUGGUUAUCACGCUCGCUUAGCAUACACCUAGAAUUUGUCCAGAGUACAUGAUAUGCGAGAGGUGUUGGGUUCAAUUCCCAAUGCGUCCA